UACGUAGGGGGCUAGCGUUGUCCGGAAUCAUUGGGCGUAAAGAGCGUGUAGGCGGCCCGGUAAGUCCGCUGUGAAAGUCGGGGGCUCAACCCUCGAAUGCCGGUGGAUACUGUCGGGCUAGAGUGCGGAAGAGGCGAGUGGAAUUCCUGGUGUAGCGGUGAAAUGCGCAGAUAUCUGGAGGAACACCAAUGGCGAAGGCAGCUCGCUGGGACGGUACUGACGCUGAGACGCGAAAGCGUGGGGAGCAAACAGG
rnacentral:rRNA from 1 species